AUGAACGCUGGCGGCGUGCCUAAUACAUGCAAGUCGAGCGAACGGACGAGAAGCUUGCUUCUCUGAUGUUAGCGGCGGACGGGUGAGUAACACGUGGAUAACCUACCUAUAAGACUGGGAUAACUUCGGGAAACCGGAGCUAAUACCGGAUAAUAUUUUGAACCGCAUGGUUCAAAAGUGAAAGACGGUCUUGCUGUCACUUAUAGAUGGAUCCGCGCUGCAUUAGCUAGUUGGUAAGGUAACGGCUUACCAAGGCAACGAUGCAUAGCCGACCUGAGAGGGUGAUCGGCCACACUGGAACUGAGACACGGUCCAGACUCCUACGGGAGGCAGCAGUAGGGAAUCUUCCGCAAUGGGCGAAAGCCUGACGGAGCAACGCCGCGUGAGUGAUGAAGGUCUUCGGAUCGUAAAACUCUAUUAUUAGGGAAGAACAUAUGUGUAAGUAACUGUGCACAUCUUGACGGUACCUAAUCAGAAAGCCACGGCUAACUACGUG
rnacentral:rRNA from 1 species